rnacentral:rRNA from 1 species
GAGUUUGAUCCUGGCUCAGGACGAACGCUGGCGGCGCGCCUAACACAUGCAAGUCGAACGGAGCUGAGAGGAGCUUGCUUUUCUUAGCUUAGUGGCGAACGGGUGAGUAACGCGUGAGUAACCUGCCCUAGAGUGGGGGACAACAGUUGGAAACGACUGCUAAUACCGCAUAAGCCCACGGUGCCGCAUGGCACAGAGGGAAAAGGAGCAAUCCGCUUUGAGAUGGCCUCGCGUCCGAUUAGCUAGUUGGUGAGGUAACGGCCCACCAAGGCGACGAUCGGUAGCCGGACUGAGAGGUUGAACGGCCACAUUGGGACUGAGACACGGCCCAGACUCCUACGGGAGGCAGCAGUGGGGAAUAUUGGGCAAUGGGGGAAACCCUGACCCAGCAACGCCGCGUGAAGGAAGAAGGUUUUCGGAUUGUAAACUUCUGUCCUAAGGGAAGAAAGAAAUGACGGUACCUUAGGAGGAAGCCCCGGCUAACUACGUGCCAGCCGCCGCGGUAAUAC